rnacentral:lncRNA from 1 species
AUUUUGAUCAUUUUUGUCAGUUUCCUUAUAGUGAUGGUUACUUAGUAAUACCCUUAACAAUGAAAAGGAACACCUAUCUACUUGUUCUUGAUGGAAGUAAACAAUGGCUUCAAAGGUGCAAGGAAAAUAGGCUGAGUGCUGGGGUUCUGCAGGAGGAAAUCAAGAAGGUCAAGGGAGAUUUGAUGGCUUGGCUGUUCUCUGAUAUCCAGAAAGAUAGAUGUCCUAUCAGCAGCAGCAGCAAUAGUGCAAGCAGCCCUGCCAACGACCUCUUGUGCUCCCACCUCCCAAGUGCCCAGCCCCAUGCCCACCGCCGAAGUGCCCAGUGCCAUGCCCACCUCCAGAGUUUCCACCUCAACUCUGCCAGCAGCAGUGUCCCCCUGUGCAGCCACCACCGUGCCAGCAGAAGUGACCACCCAGGAGCAGUAAGAGCAAAAGCCAUCAAGACCAUCGUGCAAACAAAUCACAGGGUCAGGCUCCUCUCUGAAUUAGGACCACUCUUCCCCAGAGCCCCAGGAAAAGCAUCGGGAACAAGUCUACCUUUCUUAAAAUACAGCCUUUCUUCGAUCUGUGCCUAA